rnacentral:misc_RNA from 1 species
GAUGAAGAACGUAGCGAAAUGCGAUACUUGGUGUGAAUUGCAGAAUCCCGUGAACCAUCGAGUUUUUGAACGCAAGUUGCGCCCGAAGCCUUUUGGCCGAGGGCACGUCUGCCUGGGCGUCACGCAUCGCGUCGCCCCCCACAAUUCUCCGUAAAAGGAACAUGUGUUUUGGGGGCGGAUAUUGGUCUCCCGUGCUCAUGGCGUGGUUGGCCGAAAUAGGAGUCCUUUCGAUGGACGCACGAACUAGUGGUGGUCGUAAAAACCCUCGUCUUUUGUUUCGUGCUGUUGCUCGCAAGGUAAACUCUUUAAAAACCCCAAUGUGUCGUCUCUUGACGACGCUUCGACCGCGACCCCAGGUCAGGCGGGACUACCCGCUGAGUUUAAGCAUAUCAAUAAGCGGAGGA